AUUUUAAAAUGAUGAUAUUUUCCAUGCACCACUCUUAUGCCCUUGGGCAAAAUGAAGAUUAUGGAGAUGCUGACAAAUU